rnacentral:rRNA from 1 species
CCUACGGGUGGCUGCAGUGGGGAAUAUUGGACAAUGGGGGGAACCCUGAUCCAGCCAUGCCGCGUGUGUGAAGAAGGCCCUCGGGUUGUAAAGCACUUUCAGUGAGGAAGAACGCCUGGUGGUUAAUACCCAUCAGGAAAGACAUCACUCACAGAAGAAGCACCGGCUAACUCCGUGCCAGCAGCCGCGGUAAUACGGAGGGUGCGAGCGUGAAUCGGAAUUACUGGGCGUAAAGCGCGCGUAGGUGGCUUGAUAAGCCGGUUGUGAAAGCCCCGGGCUCAACCUGGGAACGGCAUCCGGAACUGUCCAGCUAGAGUGCAGGAGAGGAAGGUAGAAUUCCCGGUGUAGCGGUGAAAUGCGUAGAGAUCGGGAGGAAUACCAGUGGCGAAGGCGGCCUUCUGGACUGACACUGACACUGAGGUGCGAAAGCGUGGGUAGCAAACAGGAUUAGAUACCCGUGUAGUC